GAUGAGCGCUAGCGGCAGGCCUAAUACAUGCAAGUCGAACGGUGUCUUCGGACAUAGUGGCGCACGGGUGCGUAACACGUAUGCAACCUACCUUACAUUGGGGGAUAGCCUUUCGAAAGGGAGAUUAAUACCGCAUAAGACAGUAGCUGGGCAUCCAGCAGCUGUUAAAGAUUUAUCGAUGUAAGCUGGGCAUGCGUCCAAUUAGCCAGUUGGUGAGGUAACGGCUCACCAAGGCAAUGAUUGGUAGGGGAACUGAGAGGUCAAUCCCCCACACUGGCACUGAGAUACGGGCCAGACUCCUACGGGAGGCAGCAGUAGGGAAUAUUGGGCAAUGGGCGCAAGUCUGACCCAGCCAUGCCGCGUGCAGGAUGAAGGCGUUAUGCGUUGUAAACUGCUUUUAUACAGGAAGAAACGACUCUUGCGAGAGGCAUUGACGGUACUGUAUGAAUAAGCACCGGCUAACUCCGUGCCAGCGGCCGCCGUAAAAC
rnacentral:rRNA from 1 species